rnacentral:rRNA from 1 species
UACGUAGGGUGCGAGCGUUGUCCGGAAUUAUUGGGCGUAAAGAGCUCGUAGGCGGUCUGUCGCGUCGAUCGUGAAAACUUGGGGCUUAACCCUGAGCUUGCGGUCGAUACGGGCAUCACUGGAGUUCGGCAGGGGAGACUGGAAUUCCUGGUGUAGCGGUGAAAUGCGCAGAUAUCUGGAGGAACACCGGUGGCGAAGGCGGCAUCCUGGACCGGCAUUGACGCGUGACGGCGCGAAAGCUAGGGGAGCAACGG